rnacentral:lncRNA from 1 species
AGUUAGUAGUUGGUCCCAGUCAGUAACGCUCUGGGAGGGCUCAGGCCACAUCACGAAAUGUGACAGGAUAGCCUUGAACUCAUCAAUUGCUGGGGGCACCUCAAACUCAACUCCAAAAUUGAUCUAAUGAACUUUGCCAAACCACAUUCCCUUCUUGCAUUUCUGAGAGAAUGGAUUCCCAUUCAUCUGACUACAGUGCUACCCUGAAAGCAGAUCCAGAGACUAAGAUUCACCUGCAGGUGAUUCAUUUGCAAGGUAAGCUGUCAUCAGUUGGAGGUAAGCGGAAGACAGUAGAGAGUACAGAGCCCUGGACUGUGACUCAGAGGAUGAGCACCAGAUCCAGUUUGCUGUGCCACAGUGUCCUGAAGAUUUUCCUCAGAUAAUCUUUCAUCUCUUUGUUCCUGAGACUAUAUAUUAGAGGAUUACAGAGUGGUGUUAUCACAGAAUAGAACAAGGUCACUUGAUAUUCUUGGCUUGAUGAAAAAAAACAAGAUUCUAACGUGACAGAACUUGUUCUUCUGGGCCUAUCAUCUUCUUGGGAGCUGCAGCUAUUUCUCUUAUUACUAUUUUUGUUUUUUUACAUUGCUAUUGUCCUGGGAAACCUCUUGAUAGUGGUAACAGUGCAAGCCCAUGCUCAUCUGCUCCAAUCUCCUAUGUAUUAUUUUUUAGGUCAUCUCUCUUUCAUUGACCUAUGCCUAAGCUGUGUUACUCUGCCAAAGAUGUUAGGGGAUUUCCUACAGCAGGGCAAGAGCAUCUCUUUUUCAGGAUGCCUGGCCCAGAUCUACUUCCUCCACUUUCUAGGAGCCAGUGAGAUGUUUCUGCUGACAGUUAUGGCCUAUGACAGUGGAUUUUUAUCUGAGAUCUACAACUUAUGAAGAAUACAAAUGAUGUAUAUUCUUUUCUACUCUUCAUGUAUGGACUAGAGGGGCUUGCACAGUAGUAAGAAAAAAAUGGCUGAGACCCACAGGAACAAAGAAACAGGACAGGAGUUAGAUGCAGAGAAGAGAUUUCAACAAAAGUUUGGAAAAGAUGCUAACGGUAGCAUAUGAGUCACAGACAGAACAUUGGCACCUUUGUUUAAGAAACUGAAUGUUAAUGUCACAUCUGCCUUUGGAGAUUACAAAUGAAAUGGCUACCUUUCUACUGGAACCCUGACCAGAAGCCUGCCAGUUAGUAAGCUGGCUUAAGAGAUCAAUCUAAAAUUUACAUAAGGCUUUUGAAAAAAAGAAAAAACUAUAUUAUGAAAAGAGUAAAUUGAAGAAAUGGAAACUGCAAAUUACACCAAGCCCCUGAAAUGCUCAUAGACUUCUUUGUGGAGAGGAAGAUAAUUUCUUUUGAUGAAUGCAUUGCACAGCUCUUCUUCUUACACUUUGCUGGGGCUUCAGAGAUGUUCUUGCUCACAGUGAUGGCCUUUGACCUCUACACUGCUAUCUGCCGACCCCUCCACUAUGCUACCAUCAUGAAUCAACGUCUCUGCUGUAUCCUGGUGGCUCUCUCCUGGAGGGGGGGCUUCAUUCAUUCUAUCAUACAGGAACCCAAAGGCACAGAUUGACGUUAUAAGUCCUGAUUUUUGACUUGACUUCUCAUCACCUGGAAGUGAAUAAAGCAGUAGACUUCUCUAAAAAAAAAAAAAAAAAAAAAA